AUGGCCAUGUCCUCCAAUCUCGCCCGCUCCCUCCCGGACAGCCCUGCCGGGGACUUCCGUCCGGCGUCGCUGCUCUCGAAGAUGGCGAGCCGUGGCCGACGCCCGUCUCAGCUAGUCACCUCCGCGGUGUCGGCCGACGAAGCGCCGGCCAACAUGUCGCCCGGCUCCGUGGUCGGAGACAUGGAGCGCGGCACUCUCGCCGAGAAGACAGGCCGCUCCGACGGCCAGCUGACGUCGCGGUGGCGGGAGCUCCACGGCAGCAACGACUGGCAGGGGCUACUGGACCCCAUCGACACGGUGCUCCGGGGAGAGCUCAUCCGGUACGGCGAGUUCGCGCAGGCCUGCUACGACUCCUUUGACUACGACCGCUUCUCCCGCUACUCCGGCAGCUGCAAGUACCCGACGCGCACCUUCUUCCAGGACGUGGGUCUUGCCGGCGUCGGCUACGAGGUCACCCGGUACCUCUACGCCACAUGUCACCCAAGCUACCCAAACUUCAGCAUCUGGAAGCACAACCCGGGCGACGACAAGCUGUGGAGCGAGUCCGCCACUUUCGUCGGCUUCGUCGCCGUGUCCACGGAUGAGGAGACGGCGCGCAUUGGACGUCGGGACAUCGCCGUCGCCUGGCGCGGCACCGUGACCCGGCUGGAGUGGGUGUCCGACCUGACGGCGAUGCUGAAGCCGCUCACUGCAUGUGGGGUGCCGUGCCCCGACCCGAGCGUGAAGGUGGAGAGGGGGUUCGUCGACCUAUACAUCGGCAAGGACCCAACGUGCCGGUUCAGCAGCUACUCGGCGCGCGAGCAGGUGCUCGCCGAGGUGCGGAAGCUGGUGGAGCGAUACGCUGCGAGGGGCGAGGAGGUUGGCGUGACGGUCACCGGCCACAGCCUCGGCAGCGCGCUGGCCAUGAUCAGCGCCUUCGACAUCGCCGAGAGUGGAGCCAACGUGUCUCCGUCGGCCGGCGGCAAGAAAGCGCCGGUGUGCGUCUUCUCCUUCGCCGGACCGCGCGUGGGGAACACCAGGUUCAAGGAGCGCUUCGAGGGGGAGCUGGGCGUGAAGGCGCUGCGCAUCCGCAACGUGCACGACAUGGUGCCUAAGGUGCCCGGUUUUCUGUUCAACGAGGUGAUAUUCCCGGCGGUGCUGCUGCGGGUGGCGGAUGCGCUAAGGGUGCCGAGCGUGUACACCCACGUCGGCGUCGAGCUCGCGCUGGACCACAUUGUGUCGCCAUUCCUCAAACCCACCGGAGACCUGGCGAGCUACCACAACCUAGAGGCGCACCUCCACCUACUCGACGGCUACCGGGCACAUGGCCAGCCGUUCGAGCUCGGUGGAAGGGACCCGGCGCUGGUCAACAAGGCCGCCGACUUUCUUAGAGACGAGCACAUGGUGCCUCCCGGGUGGCGGCAGGAGGAGAAUAAGGGCAUGGUGAGGACGGAGGACGGACGAUGGGCAUUGUUGCAGCUUCCGAGGGAUGUUGAAGCUCACCCGGUCCCGGAUGACAUCGACAUCCACCUCGCUGCGCUCGGCCUCCUUGUGCAGGAGCAAGAUGGUAUAUGA
rnacentral:rRNA from 1 species